CACUGCCCAUGUCGCCUCACCAACAGGAGCAAAGACUUUGCCCAGAGCAGGCAGCAAAGCCAAUUUCAGGUGAAAGAUGAGUUCAAUGAGCAGAAAUGAGCUUGGAGCUGAGAAAUUUCUGCAUGACGAAAAUCCUCAGAGCAGGGCAGACCCAGCGCAGCAGUUUUCUUCAUGACACGUCUUCUGUCACCCUCUGAUACCUCCUCCACCAGACUGGCCUCCGGCCUCACCUGAGGGCAAGGCGCUUUGCUUAUCUGGAAAGGUCCUCUGGAAGAUGUCAGCUGGGAUUGGGCCAGGCUCAGGGUGUAAGCAUCCCUGGGCUGGUAAACCCAGUUGGGAUUUGCAGUGUUUGCCAAUUUCCGAGAUGUAAAUUCCCCCACCUGGGUCAAUUUCAA